rnacentral:lncRNA from 10 species
AUCCCCGCUGCAGUGCGCACCGUGACUGGACCGCCCGCGCUGCUGCCGCCGCUCAGCCCCCACCUGGGACCCAUAGUCUGGCUCGGCGCCCUGGGCGGCAACGGAGGGGAAGGACGCGGAGACAGCGGCAACAGGGAGAGAAAAAGAAAAAGAGGAAAAACAAAGAGAAAGAUGGGGAGUUGGAUUGGUACUGGCGGCGGAGGGGGAAGGGAAAGGAAGCCCUGCGCUAAGGGUCAGCAAAGUAACCCCCCAAAAUAAAGUUAUUUCAGUUCA